rnacentral:rRNA from 1 species
UACGUAGGGUGCGAGCGUUAUCCGGAAUUAUUGGGCGUAAAGAGCUUGUAGGCGGUCUGUCGCGUCUGCUGUGAAAAUCCGGGGCUCAACCCCGGACUUGCAGUGGGUACGGGCAGACUAGAGUGUGGUAGGGGAGACUGGAAUUCCUGGUGUAGCGGUGAAAUGCGCAGAUAUCGGGAGGAACACCAAUGGCGAAGGCAGCUCGCUGGGACGGUACUGACGCUGAGGCGCGAAAGCGUGGGGAGCAAACAGG